rnacentral:rRNA from 1 species
AUUGAACGCUGGCGGCAGGCCUAACACAUGCAAGUCGAGCGGAUGAAGGGAGCUUGCUCCUGGAAUCAGCGGCGGACGGGUGAGUAAUGCCUAGGAAUCUGCCUGGUAGUGGGGGAUAACGUCCGGAAACGGGCGCUAAUACCGCAUACGUCCUGAGGGAGAAAGUGUGGGUUCCUCGGACCUCACGCUAUCAGAUGAGCCUAGGUCGGAUUAGCUAGUUGGUGGGGUAAAGGCCUACCAAGGCGACGAUCCGUAACUGGUCUGAGAGGAUGAUCAGUCACACUGGAACUGAGACACGGUCCAGACUCCUACGGGAGGCAGCAGUGGGGAAUAUUGGACAAUGGGCGAAAGCCUGAUCCAGCCAUGCCGCGUGAGUGAAGAAGGUCUUCGGAUUGUAAAGCACUGUAAGUUGGGAGGAAGGGCAGUAAGUUAAUACCUUGCUGUUUUGACGUUACCAACAGAAUAAGCACCGGCUAACUUCGUG